rnacentral:misc_RNA from 1 species
AAGAAGCACCGCAAGGUGGAUGAUGGCAGUAUUCCUAUGGAUGUUGAAGUGAAGAAAAAGAAAAAGAAGAAAACCCAUUCAGAAGAGUAGCUUUGAGUGUCAGAAAUGCCUUUCUUUAUGAUCAUCUUAGUAUUGUUUACCUACUUUUUUAUAGGUGUGUGGACUUUGACUGCCUUUCAACUUUUACAAUUUUGUCAACUUAUUUUGGUUUUUU